rnacentral:rRNA from 1 species
AUUGAACGCUGGCGGCAUGCUUUACACAUGCAAGUCGGACGGCAGCACAGAGAAGCUUGCUUCUUGGGUGGCGAGUGGCGAACGGGUGAGUAACAUAUCGGAACGUACCGAGCAGUGGGGGAUAACUAAUCGAAAGAUUAGCUAAUACCGCAUAUUUUCUGAGGAAGAAAGCAGGGGACCAUUUGGCCUUGCGCUGUUUGAGCGGCCGAUAUCUGAUUAGCUAGUUGGUGGGGUAAAGGCCUACCAAGGCGACGAUCAGUAGCGGGUCUGAGAGGAUGAUCCGCCACACUGGGACUGAGACACGGCCCAGACUCCUACGGGAGGCAGCAGUGGGGAAUUUUGGACAAUGGGCGCAAGCCUGAUCCAGCCAUGCCGCGUGUCUGAAGAAGGCCUUCGGGUUGUAAAGGACUUUUGUCAGGGAAGAAAAGGGCGGGGUUAAUACCCCUGUCUGAUGA